UAGGGAUGGCAGAGGUGUCUCGGGGCUGACGGUGGUACCCAACAUCAAUCAGUUUUCUAAGGGCUGGGUAUGGUCCCCAAGGACGUUUGUGCCGCCCCAGCAGCAGCCAUGAGACUGUGAUGUCCCAGGAUGGCCAUGGAGAGGUGCCACCAUCACCACGUCCCCCCGGUGACAUUUCUGCUCUCAGGGUGGCCCCGUGCCCGCAGCGAGCCCCGGCUCUGUCCCUUGGUCCCACCGCCCUGGGGACAGCCCUACGGCCAGGACACCGGCCUCAGCCACCAGCAGUGCACCCUGGUCCCCUGCUGACACCUGCGGGGAACAGGAGGCUGCCGAGACUUGAUUAGUCACAAGAAUGUUUAAUCCCCACCCCAAGCUGCUGGCUGCCUCUCCCAGAGGUGCCAGGGAUGAUACACAGAGCUGGGGGGUGAGGGCAGCUUACAUCCCACACCCCAAACGUCCCAUCCCACAUAAGGUAUCCCGCGUCCC
ensembl:lncRNA